AUGCAACAUUUAGCAUCAGAUACCAUUGAUCGGGGUGAAGAUGAUGAGGAUGUUAAAUGGUCAAAAGAUUUUGUAUUGUUGAAAGAGAGGCUUUUGUUGAUGUGUCGACAUUGAAAAGAGCCUUGACACAGCGACUUACAAGACUAUUGAAGACACACACGGACUCAUCUAUUCAGUCAGGUUACUUCCUCAUUAACUCGAGUCGAGUCAAUCUUUUCAUUGUAGCACAACAAAAAAUAACAUGAGAGCAAGAUAAAGAAAGACAUUUUCACAUCUUCCCCAACAAUAACACUCAUCAUAAUAGUUGUACUCAAAUAAUUUAUGGCCUUUACACGCGCGUUUAUAUACUUAGACCACCUUGUUUCCCUUUCUUAACCUUUACUUUUACCUUUUCCAUCUCUAACCUUUAUCUAUUCUUAAUCUAUCUAAACUUGUUUAUUCAAUAUACCAUGUAUAUCUACAUAAUCUCUCUCUGGGAGUUAAAACCUUAUUCCCAUCCUACUAUUACUAUUAUUAUAAUUUUAACCUUUUUUCUCCAUUUUUAUUGAAGGCAAAAUAUCAACCAACUUGACUGAGUUUUACAUGGAUGUGAAAAGGAAACAACAAUAGAUAGAUUGACAGUUAAGGUGUUCACAAUUUGAUUCCUCUACUUUAACUGUUUACCAAACUAUAAUUAACUUGACAAAGUAAAGAUUGUAAAAUACUAAUCGAGCCACUGGUAAUGGCCAAUCGUAUUUAAAUAUGAAAUAAAAUGAAAAUGGCCAGUGAAAUGACAGCGUCUUGGUUCCCUCUAUGAUAAAAGCUAAGAAGGUUGAAUCCCAGAUACAUAGCAUUACAAUGACAAUUAAUUAAAUGGAAAUAUUGUCAAUCUAUCUUCAUCAAUAAUCUAUCAUUUAGCCAAUUGUUAAUUAAAUGGUUAGAAGAAAGUAAAAACAAUUAACUCAAUUAUUGAUGUUAAUAAAAAUAUCUGAGUGACAGAUGAAAGCAAUGUUAAACCACAGACAAUGUAAUGAACCAGUUUGCUGUUUUUUCCUAACUUGAAAUGCUGCUGUUGAUUCUGUAUUGUUUUAAUUUACAGUUAACAAAUUACAUUGUUAAUCCAAGGAUGGAGACGAUUUAUAACUGGAUGAAAUGUUGAACCCAAUAUAAUUGGAUAAACAAUCAACUCAAUCAUUUUCUAAAUCUAUAUACCAAACCUAGCAACUAUAAAAUAAUGAGCUUCAAUCAGCAAGUUGAAACAACGAGCAAAAAAAAAGUGAAUCGAUCCAUCAUCAUCUCAUGAAUUCAGUUUAGUUUCCCAUGAAAACUGGAUCCUCCAAGCUUUACCAUUAUUAGUCAACUGUGUACCGUUUGUCAUCCUCAUCAUCCCUAUCAUCAUUAACCUUUGUUUUCCUUGAGCAGAAUCAUCUCAGGUAUUGUGUUUUCACCUUACAAGAGGCUCUUCGUUGUUUUUUUGACAAACCCAAAGCAACACAACAUGAAUGAACGCACAAAAAAAACAUGAUACUUAAUUAACCUCUUGCAAGGUUAAUAGUUUAAUUAUUAAAAACUAAUUGUACUCAUCAACGGUGAUUAACAUAAGACCAAGUUUAACAAUUAAUCAUGUUAAAACACUAAACUUGAAUCAAUAUUUGGGUUCAACCUUUCACCACUUUUCUUCCUCUUCUUCACCUAUUUCCACCUUUUAAAAAUAAACACAAUUUCAAUUGAUUAC